rnacentral:rRNA from 1 species
UACGGAAGGUCCAGGCGUUAUCCGGAUUUAUUAGGUUUAAAGGGAGCGUAGGCCGCCUGGUAAGCGUGUUGUGAAAAAUACCGGCUCAACCGGUAUCCUGCAGCGCGAACUGCCUGGCUUGAGUGUGCGCAACGUUGGCGGAAUUCGUCGUGUAGCGGUGAAAUGCUUAGAUAUGACGAAGAACUCCAAUUGCGAAGGCAGCUGACGGGAGCACAACUGACGCUGAAGCUCGAAAGUGCGGGUAUCGAAC